rnacentral:rRNA from 1 species
GACGAACGCUGGCGGUAUGCUUAACACAUGCAAGUCGAACGAGAUGGGAUGGAAUGACCCUUCGGGGGAAUGAAAUCCUAGAAAGUGGCGAACGGGUGAGUAACGCGUGGGUAACCUGCCCUAUGGAAAGGAAUAGCCUCGGGAAACUGGGAGUAAUGCCUUAUAAUAUAUCGAAGUUGCAUGGCUUUGAUAUUAACCGCUCCGGUGCCAUAGGAUGGACCCGCGUCCCAUUAGCUAGUUGGUGAGAUAACAGCCCACCAAGGCGACGAUGGGUAACCGGUCUGAGAGGGCGAACGGUCACACUGGAACUGAGACACGGUCCAGACUCCUACGGGAGGCAGCAGUGGGGAAUAUUGCGCAAUGGGGGCAACCCUGACGCAGCAAUACCGCGUGAGUGAAGAAGGUUUUCGGAUCGUAAAGCUCUGUUAUUGGGGAAGAAAAAAGACGGUACCCAAGAAGAAAGUCCCGGCUAACUACGUGCCAGCAGCCGCGGUAA